rnacentral:rRNA from 1 species
CACCGCGGUUAAACGUAGAGGCUCAAGCUGACUUUUUCGGCGUAAAUAGUGGUUAAAUAAAAUAUAUACUAAAGCCGAAUGCCCCUUAAGCUGUCAUACGCCUCUAUAAGCAAGAAGCCCAACAACGAAAGUAGCUUUACCAAAAUUGAAGCCACGAAAGCCAAGAAA